CUCAAUGAAAUUAAAUAGCUGCAAUUUUGUACUAAGGUAGCAUAAUCAUUUGUUUUUUAAUUAAAAACUAGAACGAAAGAUUCAACAUUUUCAUUCCUUUAUUACAUAUAAUUAUUAAAUUUUUUUUAAAUAUAAAAAAAUAUUUAUUAAAUAAAAAGACGACAAGACCCUAUUGAAUUUCACUAAAGUUAAACUGGGGUAGUUAAUUAAAUAUAAUUUUAAUUCAAACCACAAAAAUACCUAAUAUAAUUAAAUAAUCAAAUUACCAUAGGGAUAACAGCGUAAUAAUUUUCCUAAGAUCUUAUUUAAAAAAUUGAUUACGACCUCGAUGUUGAAUUAAUAUUCUAUUAAAUGCAAUAAUUUAAUAAGAAAGUCUGUUCGACUU
rnacentral:rRNA from 1 species